GUCAGUGGUGAUGGAGCGGGGUGGGUGGGGAGGUUGCUGAGCAGUGCGUUGAUGUUCAACAGGUUUCACAGCCACCUCCAAAGCAGUGCAAUCCAGAUGAAGGACAGAGAAGUUAUGAAGGAUGCGUUCACCAACUUGUAGUCGCCAGGCAAUGGACGGGCACACUCAGGACCCAUUGGGACAGAUGCAGCACAGUGCAAAGCCAGCAAUGGCAUGUUGUAAGAUUGCACUUCCUGACAUCCCUGUGACUGGUGGGGCCCUGUGCCUAGUUGACAGUGGAAGGAACAUGUAACUUCUAGAUACCCAUGAAGAUGCAGAAAAAUCUUCACACUCUCAGCAAUUUAACAAUCUAAGGUAACAGGCACUAUAAUUCCAGAAGCAGGAAGUAAGAUGUCUAAAUUCUAAGAAAAUCAGAGCUGCGUUUAGAAAAACUCCUAAGGAUUCUACUUGAAGAGUUUCCUGGCUUUGCUGCCUCUGAUUAUACCCUCAAUACACAUUGCAAUACUCUAUUUUUGCAAUUAGUUUUUAUUUUGUUUUGUUUUGUUUUUAGAGACAGGAUCUUACUCUGACUUCCAGGCUAGAGUGUAGUGGCAUGAUCAUAGUUGACUGCAGCCUCAAACUCCCAGGCUCAAACAAUCCUCCCACCUCAGCCUCCCGAGCAGCUGGGACUACAGAUGCACACCACAACACUCGGCUAAUGUUUUUUUCUUUUUGGUAGAGACAGGAUCUCACUAUGUUGUCCAAGUCACUCUCAGACUUCUGGCUUCGAGUGAUACUCCCUCCUUAGCCUCCCAAAGUGCUAAGAUUACAGACAUGAGCACCUGGCACUGCGUUUUGUUGUUGUUGUUGUUUUGUUUUGUUUUGUUUUUCUGAGAUGGAGUCUCGCCCUGUCGCCCAGGCUGGAGUGCAGUGGCGCAAACUCGGCUCACUGCAAGCUCUGCCUCCCGGGUUUACGCCAUUCUCCUGUCUCAGCCUCCCGAGUAGCUGGGACUACAGGCGCCCGCCACCAUGCCCGGAUAAUUUUUUGUAUUUUUUAGUAGAGACGAAGUUUCACCGUGUUAGUCAGGAUGGUCUCGAUCUCCUGACCUCGUGAUCCACCCAUCUCGGCCUCCCAAAGUGCUGGGAUUACAGGCGUGAGCCACCGCGCCUGGCUGGCACUGCAUUUUAUCUUUUAAAAUAGGCGGUUCCCCAUCAGAAUAUGAACUCAUUUAAGGGCAAGGACUAUAUCUUAAAUAUCUUUUGUACCUUUGCACGGUGACCAAGACAUAGUAAAUGCUCAAAAAACAUUUAAUGAAUGAAUGAAUUAAUUAAUAAACUCUUGUGUGAUGGAAUUCUCUGGCUGUGUCUUUCCUGUGUCUCUGCUGGAGUAACAGGUGCUGGGAUAUGGCAGCUUGCCCAGCCACCUCGUUGCUCCUCCGUGUUGCCUCGUG
rnacentral:lncRNA from 10 species